CAUGAUGAUGACAAAACGCUGUGCACCAGUCAGAGUACUCUUUUCAUGAUCGAUACAGUAUACCCAUAUUCCUGACA
rnacentral:ncRNA from 20 species